rnacentral:rRNA from 1 species
AGGAAUCUGCCUGGUAGUGGGGGACAACGUUUCGAAAGGAACGCUAAUACCGCAUACGUCCUACGGGAGAAAGCAGGGGACCUUCGGGCCUUGCGCUAUCAGAUGAGCCUAGGUCGGAUUAGCUAGUUGGUGGGGUAAUGGCUCACCAAGGCGACGAUCCGUAACUGGUCUGAGAGGAUGAUCAGUCACACUGGAACUGAGACACGGUCCAGACUCCUACGGGAGGCAGCAGUGGGGAAUAUUGGACAAUGGGCGAAAGCCUGAUCCAGCCAUGCCGCGUGUGUGAAGAAGGUCUUCGGAUUGUAAAGCACUUUAAGUUGGGAGGAAGGGCAGUAAGUUAAUACCUUGCUGUUUUGACGUUACCGACAGAAUAAGCACCGGCUAACUCUGUGCCAGCAGCCGCGGUAAUACAGAGGGUGCAAGCGUUAGUCGGAAUUACUGGGCGUAAAGCGCGCGUAGGUGGUUUGUUAAGUUGGAUGUGAAAGCCCCGGGCUCAACCUGGGAACUGCAUCCAAAACUGGCAAGCUAGAGUACGGUAGAGGGUGGUGGAAUUUCCUGU